GAAAACAUGCCCCCGUCGGGGACCCUGAUUUCAGCUGGAGAACAAGGCCCAUUGCAGUCCGAUCCAUUCAGAUGUGCCAAACCCUAAUUCCCUAACCUUAUCCAAAUCAGUGAAAUCACUCCCUUCUCCUCCCCUCCCUCCCCUUUCCCCAUCACUCAGUGGCGCCGGCGCAUCUGCUACUCUCAGCGGCUCAGCGCGGCACCUCUCCUUCUCCGUCCCCGUUUGCCCACAGCCGCUGAGGCCGCCGGUGCAAGCUGCUGGGGGGCACCACGUCCGCAGCCUGCCGACUGCUACCCCCAUCCCUCGACGUCUCCGCCCGUCCUCCAUCCCAGACUGGAGGCAGUCGAUGCAAGGACUCCAGGAGACGCGCUGGCUGCAGCCACCUGCAACGAGCUCCCUGGAUCUGUAGGCUUGUGCUGCAAUUUGCAGUCCUGCAGAGGAGCAAUGAUCUACGGGGUGAUAAUGGCAACAAGACAAAAAGGUUAUAAUGACAUGCCGGAUGAAGCUUUCAAGGAAAUGUGUAUCACAUUUUCGCUUUUGGCUUUUGUUUGCUCAGAGAGAAGGUAAGUUGCAUGUAGAGUUGUAUAUGGAGUGUGAUUGGUCUAUCUUUUUUUCUUCUUCAUUCUUGUGAGAUGUUUGAAGCUCUCUAUACCUGAAAAUUAAUUCCCCGCGCGGGGACGGGGAUGGGAGCACCCCGCAAGCAUUGAC
rnacentral:lncRNA from 1 species